rnacentral:rRNA from 1 species
UACAGAGGUCUCAAGCGUUGUUCGGAUUCAUUGGGCGUAAAGGGUGUGUAGGUGGCGCGCUAAGUCGGGUGUGAAAUUUCGGAGCUUAACUCCGAAACUGCAUUCGAUACUGGCGUGCUUGAGGACUGGAGAGGACGACUGGAAUUCAUGGUGUAGCAGUGAAAUGCGUAGAGAUCAUGAGGAAGACCAGUGGCGAAGGCGGGUCUCUGGACAGUUCCUGACACUGAGACACGAAGGCCAGGGGAGCAAACGGG